rnacentral:rRNA from 1 species
UACGUAGGGGGCAAGCGUUGUCCGGAUUUAUUGGGCGUAAAGAGCGUGUAGGCGGCCAUACAGGUCAGCUGUGAAAACUCGAGGCUCAACCUCGAGACGUCGGUUGAAACCGUAUGGCUAGAGUCCGGAAGAGGAGAGUGGAAUUCCCGGUGUAGUGGUGAAAUUCGUAGAUAUUGGGAAGAACACCGGUGGCGAAGGCGGCGACCUGGUCCUUGACUGACGCUGAGGCGCGAAAGCGUGGGGAGCAAACAGG